rnacentral:rRNA from 1 species
UACAGAGGGGGCAAGCGUUAUUCGGAAUUAUUGGGCGUAAAGGGCGCGUAGGCGGCCUUUCAAGUGACGGGUGAAAUCCCCCGGCUUAACCGGGGAACUGCCUGUCAGACUGGGAGGCUUGAGACCGGGAGAGGUGAGUGGAAUUCCCAGUGUAGCGGUGAAAUGCGUAGAUAUUGGGAGGAACACCAGUGGCGAAAGCGGCUUCCUGGUCCAGCACCGACGUUCAGGCACGAAAGCGUGGGGAGCAAACAGG